rnacentral:rRNA from 1 species
UACGUAGGUGACCUGCGGAAGGAUCAUUA